AUAAAGGUCAUGAAUAGGAAAGUAGAAAUUAGUCAAUCCCAAAGAGAAUUUCGGAUGCUGAAAACGAAAUGGAAACUGUUUUCGAAAACACACCUAUGAAUAACUUCAAAGUUGAACUCAGUAGGCUUUGACGAAAUGGUUCGUUAUCCCAGUUGACACAGCCAACAUGAGGUUUGAUACCGCAAGGAUCAAACAAAGGUGAGGUGGAACCACGAUAAUUCGUCCUCUUA
rnacentral:ncRNA from 1 species